rnacentral:rRNA from 1 species
AUUGAACGCUGGCGGCAUGCCUUACACAUGCAAGUCGAACGGCAGCACGGGUGCUUGCACCUGGUGGCGAGUGGCGAACGGGCGAGUAAUACAUGGGAGCAUGUCCUGUAGUGGGGGAUAGCCCGGCGAAAGCCGGAUUAAUACCGCAUACGAUCCACGGAUGAAAGCGGGGGACCUUCUGGCCUCGCUCUUGAGGGUUGGCCGCUGGCUGAUUAGUUAGUUGGUGGGGUAAAGGCCUACCAAGGCGACGAACAGUAGCUGGUCUGAGAGAACGACCAGCCACACUGGGACUGAGACACGGCCCAGACUCCUACGGGAGGCAGCAGUGGGGAAUUUUGGACAAUGGGCGAAAGGCUGAUCCAGCAAUGCCGCUUGUUUGAAGAAGGCCUUCGGGUUGUAAAACUCUUUUGUCCGGAAAGAAAUCCUUGACUCUAAUACAGUCGGGGGAUGGCGGUACCGGAAGAAUAAGCACCGGCUAACUACGUG